AGAGUUUGAUCAUGGCUCAGAUUGAACGCUGGCGGCAUGCCUUACACAUGCAAGUCGAACGCGAAAGGGGGCAACCCCGAGUAGAGUGGCGAACGGGUGAGCAAUACAUCGGAACAUUUCCUGUAGCGGGGGACAACCCCGAGAAAUCGGGGCUAAUACCGCAUACGAUCUACGGAUGAAAGUGGGGGACCGCAAGGCCCCACACUAUAGGAGUGGCCGAUGCCGGAUUAGCUAGUUGGUGGGGUAACGGCCUACCAAGGCGACGAUCCGUAGCUGGUUUGAGAGAACGACCAGCCACACUGGGACUGAGACACGGCCCAGACUCCUACGGGAGGCAGCAGUGGGGAAUUUUGGACAAUGGGCGAAAGCCUGAUCCAGCCAUGCCGCGUGAGUGAAGAAGGCCUUCGGGUUGUAAAGCUCUUUCAGCGGGGACGAAAUAGCGCGGGGUAACAUCCCGCGUCGAUGACGGUACCCGAAGAAGAAGGACCGGCUAACUACGUGCCAGCAGCCGCGGUA
rnacentral:rRNA from 1 species